UACGUAGGGGGCAAGCGUUGUCCGGAUUUAUUGGGCGUAAAGAGCGUGUAGGCGGCCAGACAGGUCCGUUGUGAAACUAGAGGCUUAACCUCUAGACGUCGAUGGAAACCGUCUGGCUAGAGUCCGGAAGAGGAGAAUGGAAUUCCUGGUGUAGCGGUGAAAUGCGCAGAUAUCAGGAAGAACACCCGUGGCUAAGGCGGUUCUCUAGUACGGUACUGACGCUGAGACGCGAAAGCGUGGGAGCGAACAGG
rnacentral:rRNA from 1 species